ACUUCCUUGAGUAGUUUUCAGUCUUUCAUAUGAUAUUGGACAUUUCAAUCCUGCUGCUUAUCUGCAGAUUGCCUGCAAUACAUGUUUAUUCUUUGGAUUCCACAUGCUUUUGUGGGAUUUAGAGAAGCUAGAUGUUAGUAUUUAUUCCAAUUUGUCUAUUUUGAUUUCUGAUUUUAUUUAGCUAUGCUAACUAAAUUAGGAUAUUUUUCCCUGUACAGUAUUCAAAAAUUUAAAAGAAAAGGUUAGAUUACCUUAGUGAUGUCACUACCUUAAAAGCAGCUUCAUACAAUAGAGGAACUUCUACAAGUGGAAAAUAAUCAUUGGCUUGAUCAAAUUGCACUGUGUUCCACUGUUAUACCAUUUAUGAAGGAUGAAGAUUUCAUGGAAUAACCCAAGUGAGCCUAGGUGUUGGAGAUCUAAGAUCAUGUGACGAUACAUUGGAGGGCUGACUUAGGAAUCUCUUAGAUUUUAUUUUAGUUGUCAAUUUGAUGUAUUCUCCAUUUAUUUCUGGUAAUUUUGUUAGUUUUACUGGUUAUUUUGAAUCAAGAGCUGAUAUUAAAAGAUCUCAAUAUUUAUUUGAUAAUUUAAUUAGGCCAAUUACUGUAGCAACAGCGAUUACUGUUCCCUAUAAUGUUCAUGCUACAGUAACCAUGAGCAGUAACCAUGCCUUAUUGGGGUAGUUUUGGUAUUAACAGAAGUUAUUAGGAUUACUUUUCUUAUAAAUUUGGGUCAUAGAGUUUUAUAUAACAGAAUGGGAUGAUUAAUUAAUAAAGAAUAGGAAUGAAGUCUUUGGUUGCUCCUUUUAGUUUGAUUCCAUAAUGGAGGUGGGAUGCUUUCAAACCCUAUGGAUAAUUCCUAGGACUUGAAUGAGUUUGGUAUCAUCUUUUCUUUUAUCCUUUUCAUGAUUUUUUUACUUUAAGUUCUUUAAUUCUAUCAGAUCUAUUUCUGUUUUUCCUUGUUUCUUGUUGAUCCCAUAUUGAUUUCGUUAAUAUGGAAUCCACCAACCAGUCAGUUGUUUUACAGCCCCUUUCAAACCCUAUUUCCUUGAUAACAGAUCUUCUUAUUCCAUUACCUACACCCUAAAUCCCAAAUCCUUAGUUUAGACCUUUUUUUUUAGAUCAAAUUCUCUUUCUUAUAGAAAACUUUCUUUCUUGUUCAUUGGUAGAACAACUGAGAUCUAUAUGUGAUGGUCAACAAGGCAUUGGAUCUAUUCCUAAGCACCUCCAAGCCCUCUCAUUCCCUAGUUUCGUAUCCUUGGAUCGAUCAUUGCACCCACUAUCAAUUUUACAUUGAAAUUUCAGCUUUCAUAGCUCAAGUGAUCAAAACUCGGGCCUCAGCUUGACAUUCUAGCAUGCUGUAGGUUUUAACCUUGCUUUCCUAGGCUCUUAUUCCCCUCCUCCCCCGUGUCCUCGACUUUCCUAUAUCAGUUUGAUAUCAGAGCCCUUGGUAUGCCAUAACGUUCUAUCAUAGAGAUUGAUCCAAUGCAUGAACAUAUCUAAUUAUAAGCAACACUUUUAGAAACAUGUUUCUUAUGAAGAUUUUACUAGAGAUCUUGAACCACAUGAUGUUUUAGAUUGGAUUGCUGAUCUAGAAGAUUAUUUUGAUUCGUAGAAUAUGUUUGACCCUAUUCGGCUAUUUUUCACCAAUAGAAGACUAAAAGGUCAAAUUUACAUAUGGUGGAGAGGCAUGGAAGAUGAGAUGAUUUGUCAAGGUUGAGCUUCUAUUGUCAGUUGGAAAGAGAUGAAGAAACUUGUUAAAGUAAGGUAUUUGCUGCCCUAGUACAAAAAGCACUUUACUAUUCCGCAUGAUAUAAAAAUUAAAAAAUGACCAACAUGUUUCCAAGAAGGCUCCAAGAGAAGAAGUUGGAAAAAGUGGAAUAAACUUCUCUGUUUUCAAGGAUCCAGUAGGUGAGAAAUAUUGAUUGUAUGAUAGAAGGGUCACUGCAAAGCAAUGUAUGUGAAGAAGUCAAUCACCUAACACCUUGAAGUAUUGUCAAACUUGUCCGCAAAUGAGAUUGUUGCAGUUAAUAUCAGUUAAAAGUUAUAGCAUUGAGUCAUUGCAUCAGUUUGGGAUACAUGGCAAUAAAUAGAGUAUCAAAUCUGCAUUUGUGAAUGUGGAAGUGAAAGGUCAAAGAAGAGGUGCUUUGGCAUACAUUGGUUAAUUGGAAAAAAAACGAUUCUACUCAACUCAGAUGUUGGUGGUUUCAACCGGAUUCCUAGCUACAGCCAGACGGAUGUCGUGCUCCCUUCUAGUUAAGUCCCGGUGCGGCUAGACCAACUGUGACCGGUAUAAGAAAGAAUGCAUUUCACAUCACUAGAAAGAUUAAUGCAGCUCCUUGAGCCCACCGAAUUCUCCUUGUGCUUCAUGACAGGUUUGUCUUACCUUCAGAGCAUGAUUCGCCCAUCUUCACCUAUGAUUUUGUUUGCUUCGCCCCCCUACGGCCCUCUCUCUCUCCUCGGUAAGUUGGCGGCCUCUCUCCGAGAAGAGUAGAAACCCUAGAUAUCCAGCAACUCUUAGCUUCAUAUCUAAGCUCUUCUCUCUUCAAUGCCUCCCGUGGAUCCUGAUUUAUUUACCAACAACCGAUCUCUAGGAGGAAGUGGCUGGUCAAAGUGGUCCCCCAUACUAGAAAGCUGUGAUCCAAGAUCUCUAGCCAUCGGCAAAUUCCUCUCCUUCUGAAUGUCGAUGGCUCCUCAAGUGCUUCACUCGAUGCCAAGGAUGAGGCGGAGUUUGCCUCUUCCUACCUUCAUAGUGAGAUCUCGAGCAAGUCCAGCCUGGUCUUCCCCAGAUUUAGGGCUCUCAAGCAGUCGAGAUCUUCUUGCGGGAGGGUGUGGAACUUGGUAGCACUCAGUGGAUAUCUAUGGUUCGAAAUUGUCGCCUUCCCUCUCUCUCCUUGGUAAGUCCUUCCGCCUCCCUCUUUCUCUUCCUCUCCCCCCUCUCCCCCUCUCUUUCUUACUCUCCGGCCCUCUCCCUCUCCCUCCUUGUGGUUCCAGUGUGCCACAGUUCAGUAUGGUACAGAUUGGUAUUGUACCAUACUAGUUGUUGGCUGGAACAUCUGUCGGUACCGGUUCUGUAAUCCUUCAUUCUUGUAGCCAUAUAAAUAUCAGAUUUUUGCCAAAAAAUUCUAGCCAACUCUUGAUUUUGGCUAUUUAAGUUCAUAAGGCCCGAAGGACCCAAUUCAGGCCCUAAAAUUGAAACCCCUAGUUAGAUUAUAGUCAACCAUUGUCUAUUUUCUUCAAGAAUGUCAUCUUUCUAGUUCAGUUCUAUUGAAAGCUCAGGUUUUAUCUUGAGAUCUCAGCAAUCUAUAGUUUUCAUCCCUACCCUAAACUCUUAUUCAUUCCCUUUUAUGCCCUAAUUUGCUAGGGUAUUUUCUUAACUACGGAUAUCUUCUCAGUCGUUAGUUAUAUUGUAAUGUUGACCUUUUCUCUAAGACCAAGUAGUUUAUUAGCAGUCUCAUGCAUGUACCUUAAUUAAUUUUCAUCCUGAAUUAGGUCAUAAUAGGUGGCUCUGAGCUCAUGUUGUAAAUAUUGUGGAUAAAGCUCAGGUGCAUCACUUAUUAGUUUACAGUAUUCAUAUGACAGUAGGGCAUUGUUUCAUACUUAACCCACAACCUUUUGUACCUUAAUUUCACAUGAAUGAUUUAUCAUAAAUUAGCCUUUAGGUUUAUAUUACUCUUCUUUUCCUUUUUUUGCUUUUCCUAGUGAGAAUUUGUUGAUCAUUAUCAUGACUUGAAGAACCAAUAAGGAUGCAAAUAUAUCAAUGCAAGCCUCGGAACCAAUGAGGAUGACUUUGCAGUGAUGCUGCAUAUCUAGACAAACCAUAAAAUUAGAAAAUCAUAAGCACAACCAUAUGUAGACUUAAAUAAGGAAAUUAUAGUGCAAUAGUAGUGACAUACUGAACAUGUAUUUAUUAUAAUGUUUCUAUAAUAGGUUAUCAUAGUGGCAAUUGUUUAUCAUUCCCUCAAAUCUAUGUUCGGUCAUACGUCAAGAGUUUACAAGAAUGAUGAAGUGAUAAACUAACCAUGCCAUGAAUAGUGGAUCUAUCAAUAUAAGAGGAGAAAGGUGGAAAGUGACGUGCAUGACCCAAAUAAUGAGUAGAAUUGGAUGUGAAGUGGUCAUGUUGCUGAUUUGUAGGAUGAGCCAGGAUGGUGCUUGAAGGCAAAUAACAAUGGAUUUAUUGUUGAUCAUGCACGUGUGCCCGCGAGUGCGAGCAUGAGUGCAAGUGCAAGUGAGUUGCAUGUUUCGCAUUGCUAGUUGAUAAUUUAUUGUUGGAUCUUAUAUGUAUUUAAUGAGGAGCAGUAAAGGCGGAAUUGUUACAUUGCAAGAUGCUUUACUCAGACACAUCCCCAUAUUAUAUGCAUUGGUGUUUAAUAAAACAAAUGGGGUAAGCCAUCGGAAAUCGCAUAUAUUGAAUGGAGAAGAACUUCAUAUUGUUUCAUAGCCAUUUGAUGAUACGAUUUUCGUGAUGCUCCUUCUAAGCUGGAAAUUCUUGUACAUCAUUCAUUGUCAUCAAUUGUUGAUGUACUGAUUCUUUUAGGAAAAAGAUUUAUAUCUUAGUGAAGGCGAUCACUUGCAUGCCGAUCAUUUUGUCCAUUUCUAUGGGAAUUGUUGAUGGUUUUGCAUGGUUUAAGUCCUAGUGAUAUGUUGUAAGCUCACAAGCUAACAUUUUACUUGAAGUGGCAUGUGCACUCUAGAAUGUAUCUUGUGCUCUUGGGCAUAUAGUUAUUUCUCAGGACCUUCUUUUUAACUAAAUGUCUAAAAUUGAACCACUACUAUCAUAAUAAACAAACCAUAGACUAUAAGUAUCAUUAUGCUUUUUAUUGUUUUGCCAUUUUCAAAUAUAUUUUCUUCUAGAAUGCUUAGACCAAAUUCACUUAUAUAAGAAGCCAACAGUGAUUGGAUUAUGAUAUUUUUCCAUCAUGAUUCAGGAUAUAUUUUGCAGGACACGGACCUAGUUA